GAUCCUAGCUCAGGAUGAACGCUGGCGGCGUGCUUAACACAUGCAAGUCGAGCGAAGCACUUAGGAAAGAUUCUUCGGAUGAUUUCCUAUUUGACUGAGCGGCAGACGGGUGAGUAACGCGUGGGUAACCUGCCUCAUACAGGGGGAUAACAGUUAGAAAUGACUGCUAAUACCGCAUAAGACCACAGCACCGCAUGGUGCAGGGGUAAAAACUCUGGUGGUAUGAGAUGGACCCGCG
rnacentral:rRNA from 1 species